rnacentral:lncRNA from 1 species
CACACACGCACACACACACACUUUCUAGUCUGUCUUUUGUGUGUUCUAGGAGAUACUAGCGUGUCUGUUGGAGGUCCCUGGUGUGUUGUGCACCAAUGAGCUGCAUAUUGAAUCUUUGUUCAAAGGCAAGGCCAGAAGUCUCCAGGGUUUCUGGUCAGAGCUGCAGUGGAACACAGAGAGGACAACAUAUCUGGAUGCUGUUCCCAACCCCAGAUACAGAACCUCACACAUACAAGCUGAGUGGGAGAAACUGAAGUCCGAGAGGAGACCAUCCAGCCACAGGAAUAACUUGGAGGAGAACACAAAGAAGUAGGUGUGCCAUCCACCGGAGCGUUGUUAAAGAAAGCACAUCACCACAGACACAGAGAGCCUCU